UCCUAGCCGUAAACGAUGGGCACUAGGCAGUGGAUUCGCCUGUGUAAUUCACUGCCGUAGCUAAUGUGUUAAGUGCCCCGCCUGGGGAGUACGCUCGCAAGGGUAAAACUCAAAGGAAUUGACGGGGGAUCACACAAGCGGUGGAGCAUGUGGUUUAAUUCGAAGCAACGCGAAGAACCUUACCUGGCCUUGACAUGCAUGGAUUAGCUCUGUGAAAAGCAGAGUGACAGCUC
rnacentral:rRNA from 1 species